AACAACAUCAGAUUUGAAAAGAAAGCAUAUGAGGAGAAUCAGAUUUGCAGAGAAAUUGUUUUACAUAUCCAUAUUCGAGGCAGGAAUUGUAGGAGGAGAAUCAGAUUUGCAGAGAAAUUUUUUUACAUAUUCAUAUUCGAGGCAGGAUUUGUAGUCGAUGGCAAAAUGGCUUGCGGCAAAUUAACAGUUUUCCAUAGAUAUAGUUUGUAAUAGCUAACUACUAUACUUAAUUGUAAUAAGUGAAAGAGUAGUUAGAUACUUAGUAGAGAUGAUUGUGAUGUAAAGGAGUAGCAGCAAGUAAAAGCUGCUACUA
rnacentral:lncRNA from 1 species